rnacentral:rRNA from 1 species
GAUGAACGCUGGCGGCGUGCCUAAUACAUGCAAGUCGAGCGAACAGACGAGGAGCUUGCUCCUCUGACGUUAGCGGCGGACGGGUGAGUAACACGUGGAUAACCUACCUAUAAGACUGGGAUAACUUCGGGAAACCGGAGCUAAUACCGGAUAAUAUAUUGAACCGCAUGGUUCAAUAGUGAAAGACGGUUUUGCUGUCACUUAUAGAUGGAUCCGCGCCGCAUUAGCUAGUUGGUAAGGUAACGGCUUACCAAGGCGACGAUGCGUAGCCGACCUGAGAGGGUGAUCGGCCACACUGGAACUGAGACACGGUCCAGACUCCUACGGGAGGCAGCAGUAGGGAAUCUCCCGCAAUGGGCGAAAGCCUGACGGAGCAACGCCGCGUGAGUGAUGAAGGUCUUCGGAUCGUAAAACUCUGUUAUUAGGGAAGAACAAAUGUGUAAGUAACUAUGCACGUCUUGACGGUACCUAAUCAGAAAGCCACGGCUAACUACGU